CUUCAGCUGUGUCUGGUCAGGUGUCUGGUUCUUGGCCUAUAAAAGCCACUUCCUGUCUCUGUACCUUUGCCAGAUUAUUGUGGUUCCUGUACUCUCUAAUCAAGCGUGUUCCUGUUUCAACUUCCUGUUGCUGAAUUUGGACUGUUUUGACUUUGCUGCUUCUCCUUCCCACUGACCUCGGCUUGCCUCACUACGAUUAUCAUCUUUCUGUUCCAGUCUCCCAUCUCUGCUUAAGACCAGAAGGCCAC